UGGGAAAAGGAAAUUAAAGGCAGUGACUCUUUCUGCAAUUGAGGAAUGAAAUUAGGGUUCUUGAGAGAAAGUUGAAGGAGGCGGAGCCGACGGAGGAGUUGAAGUUCGCCUUGGAGGAUCUUCCAGCAAGCUUGUUCUCUAGGUCAGCGAGUGUUCUGAGAUGUUGUUGCGGAAGAGCAGGAUGAAGGAGGCGUGCUUGGAGGCGAGGAGGUUGAGGUAGAAGGUCUUGAGGAGUGUGUGGUAGGGGUCGGUGGUGCCCUGGAAGAUGCAGACGUGGUAGCCGCUGGCUAAGGAGGUGGAAGGCAUGAAACAAUAAUGUUACGCGUGUCGGGCAUUGCAGCAAACACAACCCAACCACAGGAACGAAUUGCCUCCCCUCUCAAGAGUAACGAAGCUCAUCUCUAAUCUCUCUUCCCGCCGCCGCAAGCUCAUAUGAUCUCCUCUGUCGAGUUCACGACGGCGAGGCAAAGGCAAGGCGUCUCACGCUGACGACGUUGACAAUCCUAUCCUAUCCUUCCCCUUUGUUAGGUUUUCAGGUUUUCUUCCUUUAAGAUUCUGGAAAAGUUUUUGGAGAUGGAAGGUUUUCAUGCCUAGACAGUAGACAAUGAAGGAUAGCAUUCCAGGAAUAAUUUGGUUACCGGAGAAGAUGAAGGAUAGUAUUCCAA